rnacentral:rRNA from 1 species
UACGUAGGUGGCAAGCGUUGUCCGGAAUUAUUGGGCGUAAAGCGCGCGCAGGCGGCCUCUUAAGUCUGAUGUGAAAGCCCCCGGCUCAACCGGGGAGGGCCAUUGGAAACUGGGAGGCUUGAGUAUAGGAGAGAAGAGUGGAAUUCCACGUGUAGCGGUGAAAUGCGUAGAGAUGUGGAGGAACACCAGUGGCGAAGGCGACUCUGUGGCCUAUAACUGACGCUGAGGCGCGAAAGCGUGGGGAGCAAACAGG